GCCAGACUCCUACGGGAGGCAGCAGUGGGGAAUAUUGGGCAAUGGGCGCAAGCCUGACCCAGCAACGCCGCGUGAAGGAAGAAGGCUUUCGGGUUGUAAACUUCUUUUCUCGGGGACGAAUAGAUGACGGUACCUGAGGAAUAAGCCACGGCUAACUACGUGCCAGCAGCCGCGGUAAUACGUAGGUGGCAAGCGUUGUCCGGAAUUACUGGGCGUAAAGGGCGCGUAGGUGGGCGCUUAAGUCAGGUGUGAAAACUCCGGGCUCAACCUGGAGACUGCACUUGAAACUGGGUGUCUUGAGGGCAGGAGAGGAAAGUGGAAUUCCUAGUGUAGCGGUGAAAUGCGUAGAUAUCGGGAGGAACACCAGUGGCGAAGGCGGUUUACUGGACCACAACUGACGCUGAGACACGAAAGCGUGGGGAGCAAACAGGAUUAGAUACCCCAGUA
rnacentral:rRNA from 1 species